rnacentral:rRNA from 1 species
CACGAACGCACGACACUAUCUUCAGAGUUCAGAGCGGCCACCGCGACUCCACGCGCUUGUUUCCUCACUCCCAGAUGCCGACCUCCAUGAAGCCGUCCUCGGUGGCGCAGCCCCUGAACAUGCCGGUGCAGUUAAACCCAUAGGCGACCUCGCCGGUGCCGGACACGGCGAUGAGCCCCGCAAACCCCUCGUCGAGCCGCUCCUUGACGCAGAAGUCCACGGCCUCCUGCAGAGGCAGCCCCUUGUACUCCAUCACGGCGGCCACGUCGCGCGCCAGAGUGGAGCGGAUGAUGGCCUCGCCCUCGCCAGUGCACGACACGGCGCAGUGCCCACACGCGUAGGUGCCGGCGCCGAUGAGCGGCGAGUCGCCGAUGCGUCCUGUCAUCUUGUUCAUCAGACCACCGGUCGAGGUGGCGGCCGCCGUGAAGCCGUUCGAGUCCACCACCGC